CAGUCAUUAAUAAACCUCUCCACAGUGACUGUCUCCUUAACAGGGGUACCCCCACCUUCGUGCCCCCCCCCCACCAUACCAUCAGAGUAUGGUUAAAGGAACAGGAGAGGAAAUGAGCCCCUCUGAGGCAGAAGAGGAGUUGCUCAAACUCCGGUCGUGCCUAGAGGAACUGUUGUCCGCAGAAAACAGCUACUGGAAUAACUAACGGUGGAGAUGACAAUUGAGAAGAAAAAGCAAAAGAAUCACAGCUCAGUAAUAGGCCAGAGGUCUAUGUGAAGGUGCCCCACAAACCAGCUGCAAGCCUGUAAGAGGCCUGUGCGGAUCUCCAUCCAGUCUGCCUCCAGCAAGGCCUACAAGCAAUCCAAAGGGGAAGGCUGUGUGCAUGGCUGCUGCUUCUGCUUUUGUCCUUCAAUCUGCGCAACCCAAGUAGGCCAAAAGAUAAGAGGGGGCUGCUGGCAGUGACAAUGCUGGCAGUGUCUUGCAGUGAUGAGCCCCAGAAGUGAGUGGAAGCUGCAUCGUUUGUUCCAUGCCAUCAGUCAGUUCUGCCACUGCUGCUGCAUGGACUUUCACCUUCUAAGGUGGUCGUUCUUGAAAAGUGUUGCUUCCACAGAAUAUUUGCUUUGUGAAUGGACACAAAGAUUUUUAUUAUAUUUUUUUUUAUCUCAUCCCUUGUUCAUGUUUGCUAUUUAUCAUUUUCAAGAAUCCUUACUUGCAUCCUCCACUGACACUGGGGUUUUUCAUUUUGUGACAAUUUUUAAAGGUAUUUGUACAUUCCUUUUCCUCAAUUAAUUUACAUAUUUUUUGUGUGCAUGUGCUCUGCUAAGAUCCAACAAUAUUUGGCUAUUAAACAAAUUUCUGUUACAACUUUCCAGCCCAGUCCAGGAAUGGUUAGUUUGACUCCAGCCCCAGAAAUGGCUGAGAUUAAAGAACCAUACAAUU
rnacentral:lncRNA from 7 species